AGUGAACGCUGGCGGUAGGCCUAACACAUGCAAGUCGAACGGCAGCACAGUAAGAGCUUGCUCUUACGGGUGGCGAGUGGCGGACGGGUGAGGAAUACAUCGGAAUCUACUUUUUCGUGGGGGAUAACGUAGGGAAACUUACGCUAAUACCGCAUACGACCUACGGGUGAAAGCAGGGGAUCUUCGGACCUUGCGCGAUUGAAUGAGCCGAUGUCGGAUUAGCUAGUUGGCGGGGUAAAGGCCCACCAAGGCGACGAUCCGUAGCUGGUCUGAGAGGAUGAUCAGCCACACGGGAACUGAGACACGGACCAGACGCCUACGGGAGGCAGCAGUGGGGAAUAGUGGACAAUGGGCGCAAGCCUGAUCCAGCCAUACCGCGUGGGUGAAGAAGGCCUUCGGGUUGUAAAGCCCUUUUGUUGGGAAAGAAAAGCAGCAGGUUAAUACCCCGCUGUUCUGACGGUACCCAAAGAAUAAGCACCGGCUAACUUCGUG
rnacentral:rRNA from 1 species